AACAUCAGGAGCAAAAAGGGGGUUCCCUUCCAAGAACCCUAACUCACGAAAAUUGCCAGAAUCAAAGAGAAAUCGAGCCGGGAAAUUGGGGCUUUUAAUAAAAUCGUGAUCACCAAGCUUAGGGGAUCACAAGUUUGACUCUUGACAAGCUAGAUGGAGGCUUGGGAGGAAGCGGGUCAAACGGAGCAAGUACGAAAAGAAAACGUUGCUUGGAUGUGAGGUACAUUUUGGAUGCCGGAAGACGAUCAAGCAUCAUCGAAGAACCGAAAACUAUAAAGUUACAUGCUUCCGCACAUAGCCCGACGUAAAUUUUGAACGACGAACUCAAUUACGUCAUGUUGAACAACUUAUGAUUUGUAAAAGUUUUAAUAAACCUGCAUUUUUAUAGUAUGUGUAGUCUUAACUACACAUCUAAUUGUGGUAUUUAUAUGCAAAACCGUAAUUUAGUAACUACGGUGUUACAAGUGUUAAAAAAGUUUUUUACAGGUUU